AAAGAAAGUACCUGCAUAAUUGUGCAUAAUUUUGAGUUCUUCUGUGCAUAAUUUUGAGUUUUUAGCUGUGCAAUUAAAUCGCAAUUAAUUGUGGCUAAUUUUUUUAAUAAUGCAACUAAUCGCAAUCACAUUUUUUGAUUGUUUGACAUCCCUAAUAUAGACUUCAGAAAACUGGAACAUCAUUCCCUGAAAACUGGUUUCUAACAAAUGCCUAGAAGCAGAGGGCUAAGAUCAGGGAUAGAGAUGAUGAUUUGUUUUUGGUUUAAGGGUAAUAUACUUUCAAAAUCAGAUUAAGAGGCAAGUCUGCCUCAAACACAAAAGCUGAGGUUGUAGGGUUCUGAAUGGAUGAUUGGCUGCCUAGGCUUGUCUGACAACCCAAUACAUAGGGGAAUAUUGUUCAAUCUGGAUUAGUAAAAUUGUAUCACAGAAAACAAUUUUCAGUUAUGAUACUUCAUUCCCUCUGGUAUUGUUGUCUAUCCUGAGCCAGCCAACUAUUAACUGGGCCUGAAACUGUUUUGAAAUUAACAUUUAAUCUGUAAUGUAAUAUUCCACCUGCUUUACAGCACAAAUAAUGCUAAAUCUUAAUCUGUGUUUGUCUUCUGAUUUUUUAGUAGAAAUCCUUUUUACAGCUCAUUUCACUUGACCAUCUCAUAGAUAUGAGAUAUUUCAUUCAUAUAUAUUUGUGAUAAGUGUUAAUUCAGUACUAGUAACAGUUAUAGUUCUGUUGUUACAGUGCCUCUUUUAUGACAAUGCAGAUCUCAAUUGACUAUUGUUUUGGCUGUGACUUUCUUUGGCUUUCCUUUAUGUAUGCUUGAUUGGGAUUUAGCAUACCAAUUAAUUUCCCCAAAUGUCUGAAAACAUAGAUCUUUUCACUUGACUGAAAUAGCAGCACGCCAGUUGCUCCAACUUAUCGAGAUGUUAUUAAAGAGAGACAAAGGCUCAGAAAGGAAUUCCAGGAGGAUUAUACUGUACAGCAGAACAAGCAUAAAGAAGCAAUUGAAGAAAUAAAACAGCAAAGAAAAAAAACUGACCAGCAGUUUCAAAGACUGAUAGAGAACAAGUCCAUGCACCCCACUGAACUAAGGCUCAGCACAGAUAUGUUAAUGAAUGAAUUGGUAUGUAUUUAAAUGGAUAUAAUACUAAAUACAACCUCUCUAUUUUCCUUCUGCAAUAAAAAUGAUUUUCAGAUGAACUGGGUGUAUAAUCUAGAAUCAAGGUAUUUCAAAAGCAGGAUAUGGAUAGUUAACUGUACUCUGAGUUGAAUAUGCUUGUAAAGGGAGAAUAAAUAAUAAGCA